rnacentral:tRNA from 1 species
GCUGGUGUGGCUCAGUGGUAGAGCAGCGCACUCGUAAUGCGCAGGUCGUCGGUUCAAAUCCGACCACCAGCU